GUUUGUGUGGCCUAAUGGAUAAGGCAUGUGACUUUGGAUCAAAAUGUUGAGGGUUGAAGUCUCUUCAUACUCA